AGCGAACGCUGGCGGCAGGCUUAACACAUGCAAGUCGAGCGCCCCGCAAGGGGAGCGGCCGACGGGAGAGUAACACGUGGGAACAUACCUUUUGGUUCGGAACAACUGAGGGAAACUUCAGCUAAUACCGGAUAAGCCCUUACGGGGAAAGAUUUAUCGCCGAAAGAUUGGCCCGCGUCUGAUUAGCUAGUUGGUGAGGUAACGGCUCACCAAGGCGACGAUCAGUAGCUGGUCUGAGAGGAUGAUCAGCCUCACUGGGACUGAGACACGGCCCAGACUCCUAGGGGAGGCAGCAGUGGGGAAUAUUGGACAAUGGGGGCAACCCUGAUCCAGCCAUGCCGCGUGAGUGAUGAAGGCCUUAGGGUUGUAAAGCUCUUUUGCCCGGGAAGAUAAUGACGGUACCGGGAGAAUAAGCCCCGGCUAACUUCGUG
rnacentral:rRNA from 1 species